UAUAGACACAACAGAUAUACACACUUUGGGGAAUGCCUGGUGAUUUUAACUGGAUCUUAUUCUCUUCCAGUGGCAGGAUGGAUUGAAGGCAGCUGAUUGUAAUUAGUUUGGCUCUAUCCUCAAAAAGGACUAGGCCAGGAGCUGUGGCUGCCUGAAGAACAGGAGCUGGUGGGAAAAGACCAGUUUGGACAGCGGACAGGAACUUUGCUCUUGGAUUGUCAAUGUAUUGAUAUGGAGCCAAGGCAAAAAUUCAAGCUGGGAGACUCGACCCAGCUUCUCCACAUCACCUAAUCACAACGCCUCGUUGCAGCCAACCAGGAUCAGGACCACCGCACCGUUCCAGCCUAUCAUCGUUCAAGGACGCCUUCAAAAGUUCAAGCUGCCUUGGGUCUUCCUGCUUGUCAGCCGCGCUUUGACCCACCUCCUCCCCAUCUCCACCUUCGCCCUGACGGAUCUCUUCCAGAAGCCCUUUGCACUCCUCCAUCUCCAGGCUCCGCUCCUCCACUGGCUUUGGUCCCGGGGGGAAGACUAUCCCGAGCUCGCCCGAGCCGACCUGCUGGCGGUGAACCUCGGCACACAAUCUUCUGCCAGGCCCAAGCACCAAAGAUCUUGUACCAUUCAAAUCUUUUAACUGCUAUUUUCUUCACUGUGUGAGUCUCUCCAGAUUGAAUUGGCAGUUAGUUUGUCCAUUUUUGUUUUAGGCCAUGUUAUAGUUCAUGCAUAUGGGAAAUGGCUACAAAGAGCUUGUAACCUGAAUGUCAGGAUUUCACUUAAAAACAAGAUUCAGGAAGCACAUUAAAAUCCCUGUGAUUUACAGAUUAUCAAACAAAAUGAGGCUUAGACUCUUUUACAUGAGUUGUUUGUAUUGCAAUGAUCAGAAUUAGUGAAAGCAGCUCUGGUAAUUAUUUCUGUUUAAAUAUUAGUGAGAGGAAGACCUGAAAGCAUUUCAAGUAAGCAGUGAAAGAAAGACACAUUUAUGUGAAGGUAUGUAGGUAAACCCACAAAGAUUGGAAAAAAAUAAAUUACCCUGGUGCCUACAAGUCUUGUUUUUUGUGGUAUUAAGAGGACUUUUACUAAAAUAGAAA